UCAAUUUUUAUUUUAAUAUUUUUUUUCUGAAAAACUGCUCUUAAACCCCCCUUUUUAUCUCUUCCUCCUUUCUUCAGCUAGGAUUUCAACACCCAUCAUUGCCGGCGGUUCACCGUGUCGACGGAGAGGGGAGCGGCCACGGGGGCAUGGGCAUGGACGGUGGGGUGUGUGAUGGCUCAGCAUGCGCGGGGCGUGGUGGCCGACAAGGUGGAGCAGUGUCAGACGCUUGGGGGCGUGUUGGCCAAGGUUGAGGGGUGUGUUGUUUUUUUUUUCUUUGCUGGAAAAUGUUUGGUGUUGGUGGGCUAGGAUUAGUGGGUUAGUUUAGGUGGGCUGUUGGUUUAGAUUGGGUUUGAUGAUGUUGGGCUGAUGAAAUUGGGGUGGGUAUUUGGUUGUAUUUGGGCCAAAAUUGGCCUACAACAUCCAUUAUUUAGGUUAAAUAAAAAGAAUCGAAACCCGGUAAGUUAGGGUACGAUUAUCUCGAAUUACCUAAUACGGAAUAUUACUUUUAUGAAAGAA